CACGGGAGGCAGCAGUGAGGAAUAUUUGUCAAUGGACGAGAGUCUGAACCAGCCAAGUAGCGUGAAGGAUGACUGCCCUAUGGGUUGUAAACUUCUUUUAUAUGGGAAUAAAAUUUUCCACGUGUGUGCUUUUGUAUGUACCAUAUGCAUACGGAUCGGCUAACUCCUUGCCAGCAGCCGCGGUACUACGGAGGAUCCGAGCGUUAUCCGGAUUUAUUGGGUUUAAAGGGAGCGUAGGUGGAUUGUUAAGUCAGUUGUGAAAGUUUGCGGCUCAACCGUAAAAUUGCAGUUGAGACUGGCAGUCUUGAGUACAGUAGAGGUGGGCGGAAUUCGUGGUGUAGCGGUGAAAUGCUUAGAUAUGACGAAGAACACCGAUUGCGAAGGCAGUUCACUGGACUGAAACUGACACUGAGGCUCGAAAGUGUGGGUAUCAAACAGGAUUAGAUACCCUAGUAGUC
rnacentral:rRNA from 1 species